CUCCUGGUGGUCCUGCACGAUCGGCUGUGCAGUAGGCUUGUCAAGGAGAGGAUCCUCCCUGGCCUCUCCUUGGGCAGAGGAGGUGGUCCAUAAAGCUGCUCUGGAGCCAAAAUAUUGCAGUCACAUCUCGGCAGCGACCUGCCCUCAGGUGGCAUUUUCAAGUCAUGGAGAAGGUGGAGAGAGAAGCAAUCAGCAGCCACCCACUGCAGCUGGAGACCCCAGAACUUGGUGUCUGCCUCCCAUGGCACUGGGAAGGCUGGAGGCAGGUUAGAAAAAUCACCCCCUCUCUCCCACAGCCACCUGGCUCACAGGUGCCUUUAGAAGUAACAUUUCAUGUGAGGGCUACACUGCCCCAUUUUAGAGGUGGGGAAACAAAGGCCCGGAGGUCUAGGGAGGAGGGCAAGCUCCCCAGUUUGGGCAACGCACCGGCUCCUUGAAGACGCUCUGUGGCUUGGCCAGCUGCUGAAGGCUCUUGUGCUGCUCCUGAAUCCUCUCCUCCUGCUUCCGAAGCCUCUCUUCCUGCUCCCGAAUCCUCUCUUCUUGUCGCUGGUUCAGGAGACUUAUGCGCUGAUUGUUUUUGACCUGGGCCUGGAGCUCUCCUGCCACUCUCUCUAGUUCCUUCCUCAGGUGCUGCAGCUCCACCUCAGAGGGCACUGCUGGGGGCUCCGGGGGCAAGGGUUCAGCUGACAAAGGAAGCAGAUAAUAAGGGCCUCUGGAUUCUCGGAAAAGAAAAACCCUCCUCUUGGCGCACAGCUCCUCUCAGGCUCCUCAAACUUGGCCUCACUGCUAAUGAUUCCUCGCACCCAGAUGGUAGCCAGUCUUCCAAAGCACUUUCAGAGAAAGAGCACUGCGGGUGGCUGACAAUGGGCCCUCUUUGCUGAUGGGGACACUGAGACACUGAGACUCAUUGAGAUGACAAGACUCGCCGUCUCCUGGCACAGAUCUCUUUCCCUCUGCCUCAAAGCCCUUCCAUCCACCCACCUCCCUGGGGCACUCUAAGCCACCCUCACAGCCCUCUGAUGCCAGUCCUGCUCCCAGGUCAUGCCAGCCCCAUCUUACCCAUCUGGUUUUUGAGUUUGGACAAGCUCCUCUCCAGCUUCUCUACCCGACGCAUAUCUUGCUGCUUCUCUUUCUUUAAUGUGCAAAUCUGCCCAAAGCACAAGGGGAAAGGGCCUUGGAGAGAGGGGCUGGAGGCUGGACAGGCUGCCCUCUCCCUCUCUGCCCCCACCUCCACAAAGCCCAGACCCAUGACCACCUCUGGCUCUACUAUUCCCAUUUUACAGAUGACCAGAAAGAUCCAGUGACCUAUCUAAUGUGGGGGGGCUGAAGGGUCAGAUCUCACCUCCUGCGACAUUUUUCUCAUCCUCUGCUGCCACCGGGCCCUCUCUCCUUUUAGAUGUUCAGAAUACUCAUCUCUUUCUAAUUGGACUUGUUGAAAUGACUCCUUGAACUGCAAGAAUGGGCACAGAACUUAGGAAGGGCUGUCACUGGUCCUCACCUGCUCCUGGCCACCUGGGGUCAUCUUCCUUCCACAUAACUCCCUCAGAAAACCUCACCUGUGUCAGCUGCACUUUCAGUAGUGCCUCCUCCCGCAUGGACUGCUCUAACUUCCACUCCGUACGUGCUUUGCUGCGGCUGGACAACUGGAUGGUGAAGAGUGAGAAGUUUCAAUCUGGAGAGCCUGGGCAUUUCCACACAGUGCCCCUUAAAAGGGCUAGGGCUAGGCCCAAUAUACAACUCGGUCAGUAAAGAUCAAGGCAUUUCCAAGCCCGUGGUCUGGUUUUUAAAAGAACUCAGUAAAGUUGGAACGGACAGGGAAUGAGACUGAGUUUAUAGCUGGCUAACAGAGGCCCAGAGAGAUCAGAUAAUAUUGCUAUUGUUAUUACUGUUAUUAUUACCACUGUUUGAA
rnacentral:lncRNA from 10 species